GGUUCGAUGGUGUAGUUGGUUAUCACGUCUGUCUCACAGGAAGCCAAACAGUGGCUGUGUGCACAGGAGGUCUCCGGUUCGAGCCCGGGUCGAACCA